GAGGGUAGUGGCCAAGCGGUAAGGCACAGCACUUUGACUGCUGCAUUCAUGGGUUCGAAUCCCAUCUACCCCG
rnacentral:tRNA from 1 species